CAUUCAAACCCACCGAUAAAAAACUCAUGAAGCUUCACUUUUAGAUUUCCACAAGUUUCCUAUGACAGAUCUAGACCCUUUAGUGCAAGCGUUUCAAAGGAACGAAGCCCCGUCUCAAAUCCGCCAUUGGAGCUUCACCUUCUUCCUCAUUGGAAAACAUGGAUUUCUAAUCGUGGCUGGCCACCAAUUCCAGAUCUGGUUCAUUUUCCAGGUGGGAGAUUUUGUUUCCCAAUCGCUUCAUCAAGGUUCACCUUAUUUGGAUUGAGAUGGAACUGAGUUGUGUCGAUUCGAUUUCGAAUUUUGUGGGUUUGGAAUUACUCUCAGUUAGUACAUGCACUUGAACCAUAUUUGAAGAGAACCCACACCCUAAGUUGGUGCAGGUUAUGUAAAUGACGUACAGGUUAACAUUAAUGUGGAGCAUGAAGAAUUGGAUAAUCUUGCGAUUCUUGAUUCUACAUUUUCUACUUUUGUUAAGAUAUUUCAUUUGAUUACUUUGAGUCAUUGGUUUGUAUAAGCCCUAUGGGCAACCAAUUGUAUAAGUUGAGAUAUAUUUUAGACACUUCCUCCAUGUGGGGUUUGUUUUGCUUC